rnacentral:rRNA from 1 species
GAUGAACGCUGGCGGCGUGCCUAAUACAUGCAAGUCGAGCGAACAGACGAGGAGCUUGCUCCUCUGACGUUAUCGGCGGACGGGUGAUGAACACGUGGAUAACCUACCUAUAAGACUGGGAUAACUUCGGGAAACCGGAGCUAAUACCGGAUAAUAUAUUGAACCGCAUGGUUCAAUAGUUAAAGACGGUUUUGCUGUCACUUAUAGAUGGAUCCGCGCCGCAUUAGCUAGUUGGUAAGGUAACGGCUUACCAAGGCAACGAUGCGUAGCCGACCUGAGAGGGUGAUCGGCCACACUGGAACUGAGACACGGUCCAGACUCCUACGGUAGGCAGCAGUAGGGAAUCUUCCGCAAAGGGCGAAAGCUUGACGGAGCAACGCCGCGUGAGUGAUGAAGGUCUUCGGAUCGUAAAACUCUGUUAUUAGGGAAGAACAAAUGUGUAAGUAACUAUGCACGUAUUGACGGUACCUAAUCAGAAAGCCACGGCUAACUCCGUG